AACGAACGCUGGCGGCAGGCUUAGCACAUGCAAGUCGAGCGCCCCGCAAGGGGAGCGGCAGACGGGUGAGUAACGCGUGGGAAUCUACCGUGCCCUACGGAAUAGCUCCGGGAAACUGGAAUUAAUACCGUAUAGGCCCUACGGGGGAAAGAUUUAUCGGGGUAUGAUGAGCCCGCGUUGGAUUAGAUAGUGGGUUGGGUAAAGGCCUACCAAGGCGACGAUCCAUUGCUGGUCUGAGAGGAUGAUCAGCCACAUUGGGACUGAGACACGGCCCAACCUCCUACGGGAGGCAGCAUUGGGGAAUAUUGGACAAUGGGCGCAAGCCUGAUCCAGCCAUGCCGCGUGAGUGAUGAAGGUCUUAGGAUUGUAAAGCUCUUUCACCGGUGAAGAUGAUGACGGUAACCGGAGAAGAAGCCCCGGCUAACUUCGUGCCAGCCGCCGCGGUAACAC
rnacentral:rRNA from 1 species